CUUCAUCAGGUUUCACUCGCUUUCCGCUGCUCUCUCCAGCUCGUCCUUCUCUAAAGAGUCCAUGCUUGAACUUGGGGGUGGGGUGGCGGGCAGAGUGCGGCGCAAGCAUUAGCUUCUCACUGAAAGGGCAGCUGUCCACUGAGUUCACACAGUAACUUGAGUAGGUGUGUUACUUAAUACGCCACGAGAAAAUGCCCACCCCGAGAGUCUAAAAUUGUUCAUUUAAUGGGCCUCCUGCUGCUGCUCGGCCGCCUUCCAAGGGCACACUCAUCUGCUUCCCCUGCAAGCACGACCUUCUGCCAGAGACUCUGGGGGACUGUGGCUGUUGAUCUGCGGUGAGAGGUGACAGGUGGCCUCUCUGCAAUCGUGGGAUGUCAAAAUUGAUAUUAAAAUAUGCUUUCCAAGGGAUGACUGGAGACUAGGCAGAGAAAGAGAGGGUGUUUGGUACUCAGCCUCAUGUUUCGGUGCCUCCGGAGAAGGUGUGCUGGCUCCCAACCAGCUUUCCACACUCAGAGACCUAAAUCCUCUAAAGACUCAUUCUGGGAAGACCUUGGCACGAGGACACGGUGGCUAAGCCCGAGCUGGGCCCUCACAGAGGUUUGUUUAGCAGCGACCCCUCACCCAGCCGUACCUCCUCACCAGCAUUCAGGGGGUGGCUCCAUGAGGAACACAACUACGAUUUUUACAGAAGCUGUUGCCCUUUUUUUCUUUUCUCAAGAAUAACAAGGAACUAUUACAAAUAGCCUAAGACAUGACUUACGUCAGAAGGCAAUAGGCCUUCUUAUUUUUGACCCAAGGCAUAGCAAACUUCACUGAAUGACUAGGAGCUUUUUACAACUCAGCAAAUGGAUUUGUCACCAUCGUGGAACAGUGGAAGGCAGCUAAUUCCUCAGCCCAUCAGAAGUGCUGCUUUGUGAACUUGAAGAACCCGAACAACUUUUUGAUAAAAUCUAUCUCCUCCUAGAGAGAAUGGAUGGGUCAUUUUCAGAAACAUCGUUUUUUGGAGAAAAGCUCAUCUGUCCUCUGCUUGACCCCUUCUGAGGAGCUGGAGCUGUGUAGACGUCAGUUAUGAGAGCAGGAACACAACCAGGCAAAUAGCAGGAUGACCUGGCGCACGGAGUAGGUGAGAGAUGAGUGGCCUGGAUCUAAAUGAUCAUCCAAUGGAGGAAAAGACACAACAUAAAGGUUUCCAUUUCUCCAGUCUUCAAAGAGAGAGACAAUUUAUUUUGGGGGGACUACUGUUGUCAGGAUUAAAUGCUAAUGCCUGAAAUCUUUUCAAGCAAAAUGUGCUGUGUCAGCUUCCAAGAAUACACUUGUUUUACAAGUUCAACUUCUUGUUUUUGAAGAAACACAACCUCUGCAGGAGAACCUUUCCAAAAAUUUUUCAUUUUUCCUGACGCCUCAUAAUACUUAAAAGAUUUUUCAACUGAUUAGAGAUUCCCAAAUAAAAGGCACGAC
rnacentral:lncRNA from 1 species